rfam:Cricetulus griseus cell line CHO-K1, whole genome shotgun sequence.
GUGGCUCAGCGAUUAAGGGCACUGGCUGUUGUUCCAGAGGACCUGGGUUCAAUUCCCAGC